GUAUUUGUAGACCGGCCGAGGCGGGGAGUGCACUGGAGGAGGCGGCGACUUGUACUUAUAGACUGGCGGAGGCGGGGAGUGCACCGGAGGAGGGGGGGACUUGUACUUGUAGACCGACCGAGGCGGGGAGUGCACCGGAGGAGGCGGCGACUUGUACUUAUAGACUGGCAGAGGGGGGGAGUGCACCGGAGGAGGGGGGGACUUGUACUUGUAGACUGGCCGAGGCGGGGAGUGCACUGGAGGAGGCGGCGACUUGUACUUAUAGACUGGCGGAGGCGGGGAGUGCACCGGAGGAGGGGGGGACUUGUACUUGUAGACCGGCCGAGGCGGGGAGUGCACCGGAGGAGGCGGCGACUUGUACUUAUAGACUGGCGGAGGGGGGGAGUGCACCGGAGGAGGGGGGGACUUGUACUUGUAGACUGGCCGAGGCGGGGAGUGCACCGGAGGAGGGGGGGACUUGUACUUGUAGACCGGUGGAGGCGGGGAGUGCACCGGAGGAGGGGGGGACUUGUAGUGAUAGGGAUGAGUCGGAGGCGGUGGGGACGGCGGGGGAGGAGAUUUCUUGGGAGGCGGAGGAGAAUAGUACCCGUAGUUUGCCGAGGAUUCCAGGGGCAAGCUAAGAGACACUAGCACCACAAGGAGAGUGGAAAGGAGAGGGGCCAUCUUAGCCAUUUUGGCUUAGAGAAAGGGUUUUUGUGGUGCUAUGGACUGGUGCCACCUCCCCCCUUAUAUAGCUUUUGCGUUUAACCUAU
rnacentral:lncRNA from 1 species